rnacentral:rRNA from 1 species
AAAGAUUCCGGUUGAUCCUGCCGGACCUGACUGCUAUCGGUAUGGGAUUAAGCCAUGCGAGUCUGACGUCUUCCGGCUGUGGAAGGCGUGGCACACGGCUCAGUAACACGUAGUCAACCUACCUUGAAGACAUGGACAAUCCCGGGAAACUGGGGCUAAUCCGUGAUAGACUUAGGGUUCUGGAAUGGCCUUAAAUCUAAAUGGUCGGACGAACAUGCUUGUUCGAUUGCUUCAAGACGGGACUGCGGCCGAUCAGGUAGUUGGUGGGGUAGUGGCCCACCAAGCCGAUAACCGGUGCGGGCUCUGAGAGGAGGAGCCCGGAGAUGGACACUGAGACAAGGGUCCAGGCCCUACGGGGCGCAGCAGGCGCGAAACCUUUACACUGCACGAAAGUGCGAUAAGGCUAUACCGAGUGCCACCCGCUGAGGGUGGCUUUUCCUAGGUCUAAAUAGCCUAGGGAAUAAGGGGAGGGCAAGCCUGGUGUCAGCCGCCGCAGUAAUACCAGCUCCCCGAGUGGUCAGGACGAUUAUUGGGCCUAAAGCAUCCGUAGCCGGCUUCGUAGGUCUUUUGUUAAAUCCAACGGCCCAACCGUUGGAAUGCAGGGGAUACCGCGGAGCUAGGGGGCGGGAGAGGCGGACGGUACUCCAUAGGUAGGGGUAAAAUCCUUUGAUCUGUGGAAGACCACCAGUGGCGAAGGCGGUCCGCUAGAACGCGCCCGACGGUGAGGGAUGAAAGCUGGGGGAGCGAACCGGAUUAGAUACCCGGGUAGUCCCAGCUGUAAACGAUGCAGGCUAGGUGAUAGGGAGGCUACGCGCCUCCCUAGUGCCGCAGGGAAGCCGAUAAGCCUGCCGCCUGGGGAGUACGACCGCAAGGUUGAAACUUAAAGGAAUUGGCGGGGGAGCACUACAACGGGUGGAGCCUGCGGUUCA